AUGGAUGCCCAGAAGAUGGAGGUCGCUGCUCUGAUCGAGAAGAUCGCCGGUCUCCAGGCCGCCAUCGCCGGGCUGCCGUCGCUGAGCCCGUCCCCUGAGGUCGACAGGCUCUUCACCGACCUCGUCACCGCGUGCGUCCCGCCGAGCCCCGUCGACGUGACGAAGCUCAGCCCGGAGCACCAGAGGAUGCGGGAGGCGCUCAUCCGCCUCUGCUCCGCCGCCGAGGGGAAGCUCGAGGCGCACUACGCCGACCUGCUCGCCACCUUCGACAACCCGCUCGACCACCUCGGCCGCUUCCCCUACUACAGCAACUACGUCAACCUCAGCAGGCUGGAGUACGAGCUGCUGGCGCGCCACGUGCCGGGCAUCGCGCCGGCGCGCGUCGCCUUCGUCGGCUCCGGCCCGCUGCCGUUCAGCUCGUUCGUCCUCGCCGCGCACCACCUGCCCGACGCGCAGUUCGACAACUACGACCUGUGCGGCGCGGCCAACGAGCGCGCCAGGAAGCUGUUCGGCGCGAGGGAGGACGGCGUGGGCGCGCGCAUGAAGUUCCACACGGCGGACGUCGCCGACCUCACGCAGGAGCUCGGUGCGUACGACGUGGUCUUCCUCGCCGCGCUCGUCGGCAUGGCGGCCGAGGAGAAGGCCAAGGUGAUAGCCCACCUGGGCGCGCACAUGGUGGAGGGGGCGUCCCUGGUCGUGCGGAGCGCGCACGGCGCUCGCGGCUUCCUGUACCCCAUCGUCGACCCGGAGGACAUCAGGCGGGGCGGGUUCGAGGUGCUGGCCGUGCACCACCCCGAAGGUGAGGUGAUCAACUCUGUCAUCGUCGCCCGUAAGGCCGUCGACGCGCAGCUCAGUGGGCCGCAGAACGGAGCACGGGGCGCGGUGCCGCUGGUCAGCCCGCCAUGCAGCUUCUCCACCAAGAUGGAGGCGAGCGCGCUUGAGAAGAGCGAAGAGUUGGCCACCAAAGAGCUGGCCUUUUGA
rnacentral:rRNA from 1 species